GAUGAACGCUGGCGGCGUGCCUAAUACAUGCAAGUCGAGCGAACAGGCGAGGAGCUUUCUCCUUCGACGGUAGCGGCGGCCGGGGGGUUAACACGUAGGUAACCUACCUCUAAGACUUGGUUGACUACGGGAAACCGGUGCUACUAACGGAUGAUAUUUCGAGCCUCAUGGUUCAUUAGUGAAAGAUGGCUUUGGUAUCACUGAUAGAUGGACCUGCGCCGUAUUAGCUAGUUGGUAAGGUAAUGGCUUACCAAGGCGACGAUACGUAGCCGACCUGAGAGGAUGGUCGGCGACAACGGAAGUGAGACACGGUGCAGACGCCUACGGGAGGCAGCAGUAGGGAAGCAUCCGCAACGGGGGACGCCCUGACGGAGCAACGCCGCGUCGGGGAUGAUGGUGUUCGGAGGGUAAUGAUCCGCUAUUGGGGAAGAACCAACGUGGAAGUAACUGUGCAUGUCUUGACGGUACCUAAACAGAAAGCCACGGCUAACUACGUG
rnacentral:rRNA from 1 species